rnacentral:rRNA from 1 species
UACGGGGGGGGCAAGCGUUGUUCGGAAUUACUGGGCGUAAAGGGCUCGUAGGCGGCCAACUAAGUCAGACGUGAAAUCCCUCAGCUUAACUGGGGAACUGCGUCUGAUACUGGAUGGCUUGAGUUCGGGAGAGGGAUGCGGAAUUCCAGGUGUAGCGGUGAAAUGCGUAGAUAUCUGGAGGAACACCGGUGGCGAAGGCGGCAUCCUGGUCCGACACUGACGCUGAGGAGCGAAAGCCAGGGGAGCAAACGGG